rnacentral:rRNA from 1 species
UUGCCCUAGUAACGGCGAGUGAAGCGGCAACAGCUCAAAUUUGAAAUCUGGCCUCCCUUGGGGGUCCGAGUUGUAAUUUGCAGAGGGUGCUUUGGCGUCGGCAGCGGUCUAAGUUCCUUGGAACAGGACAUCACAGAGGGUGAGAAUCCCGUACGUGGUCGCCUGCCUUCGCCGUGUAAAGCCCCUUCGACGAGUCGAGUUGUUUGGGAAUGCAGCUCUAAAUGGGAGGUAAAUUUCUUCUAAAGCUAAAUACCGGCCAGAGACCGAUAGCGCACAAGUAGAGUGAUCGAAAGAUGAAAAGCACUUUGGAAAGAGAGUCAAACAGCACGUGAAAUUGUUGAAAGGGAAGCGCUUGCAGCCAGACUUGCUCGUAGUUGCUCACCUGGGUCCGCCCGGGGCACUCUUCUGCGAGCAGGCCAGCAUCAGUUUGGGCGACCGGAUAAAGGCCUCUGUCAUGUAUCUUCCUUCGGGAUGACCUUAUAGGGGAGGCGUAAUGCGGCCAGCCCGGACUGAGGUCCGCGCUUCUGCUAGGAUGCUGGCGUAAUGGCUGUAAGCGGCCCGUCUUGAAACACGGACCAAGGAGUCUAACAUCUAUGCGAGUGUUUGGGUGUCAAGCCCGGGCGCGUAAUGAAAGUGAACGGAGGUGGGAACCCUCUCCGGGGGGUGCACCAUCGACCGAUCCUGAUGUCUUCGGAUGGAUUUGAGUAAGAGCAUAGCUGUUGGGACCCGAAAGAUGGUGAACUAUGCUUGAAUAGGGUGAAGCCAGAGGAAACUCUGGUGGAGGCUCGCAGCGGUUCUGACGUGCAAAUCGAUCGUCAAAUUUGGGCAUAGGGGCGAAAGACUAAUCGAACUAUC